rnacentral:rRNA from 1 species
CAGUCGAACGAUGAUCCGGUGCUUGCACCGGGGAUUAGUGGCGAACGGGUGAGUAACACGUGAGUAACCUGCCCUUGACUCUGGGAUAAGCCUGGGAAACUGGGUCUAAUACCGGAUAUGACUCCUCAUCGCAUGGUGGGGGGUGGAAAGCUUUUGUGGUUUUGGAUGGACUCGCGGCCUAUCAGCUUGUUGGUGAGGUAAUGGCUCACCAAGGCGACGACGGGUAGCCGGCCUGAGAGGGUGACCGGCCACACUGGGACUGAGACACGGCCCAGACUCCUACGGGAGGCAGCAGUGGGGAAUAUUGCACAAUGGGCGCAAGCCUGAUGCAGCGACGCCGCGUGAGGGAUGACGGCCUUCGGGUUGUAAACCUCUUUCAGUAGGGAAGAAGCGAAAGUGACGGUACCUGCAGAAGAAGCGCCGGCUAACUACGUGCCAGCAGCCGCGGUAAUACGUAGGGCGCAAGCGUUAUCCGGAAUUAUUGGGCGUAAAGAGCUCGUAGGCGGUUUGUCGCGUCUGCCGUGAAAGUCCGGGGCUCAACUCCGGAUCUGCGGUGGGUACGGGCAGGCUAGAGUGAUGUAGGGGAGACUGGAAUUCCUGGUGUAGCGGUGAAAUGCGCAGAUAUCAGGAGGAACACCGAUGGCGAAGGCAGGUCUCUGGGCAUUAACUGACGCUGAGGAGCGAAAGCAUGGGGAGCGAACAGGAUUAGAUACCCUGGUAGUCCAUGCCGUAGACGUUGGGCACUAGGUGUGGGGGACAUUCCACGUUUUCCGCGCCGUAGCUAACGCAUUAAGUGCCCCGCCUGGGGAGUACGGCCGCAAGGC